AAGCGUGCGCAGGCGGCUUUGCAAGACAGAUGUGAAAUCCCCGGGCUCAACCUGGGAACUGCAUUUGUGACUGCAAGGCUAGAGUACGGUAGAGGGGGAGUGGAAUUCCGCGUGUAGCAGUGAAAUGCGUAGAUAUGCGGAGGAACACCAAUGGCGAAGGCAAUCCCCUGGACCUGUACUGACGCUCAUGCACGAAAGCGUGGGGAGCAAACAGGAUUAGAUACCCUUGU
rnacentral:rRNA from 1 species